CCUACGGGUGGCAGCAGUGGGGGAUAUUGCACAAUGGGGGAAACCCUGAUGCGGCGACGCCGCGUGUGGGAAGACGGUCCUCUGGAUUGUAAACUACUGUCCCCAGGGACGAAGAUGACGGUACCUGGGGGGGAAGCUCCGGCUAACUCCGUGCCAGCAGCCGCGGUAAUACGUAGGGAGCGAGCGUUGUCCGGAAUUACUGGGUGUAAAGGGAGCGUAGGCGGGGAUGCAAGUUGGGUGUCAAAACUACCGGCUCAACUGGUAGUCGCACUCAAAACUGCAGCUCUUGAGUGAAGUAGAGGCAGGCGGAAUUGCGAGUGUAGCGGUGAAAUGCGUAGAUAUUAGGAGGAACACCAGUGGCGAAGGCGGUCUGCUGGACAGCAACUGACGCUGAGGCGCGAAAGCGUGGGGAGCAAACAGGAUUAGAUACCCCGGUAGUC
rnacentral:rRNA from 1 species